AGCGUGAUGCAGCAACGCCGCGUGGGGGAAGAAGGCCUUCGGGUUGUAAACCUCUUUCAGUUGGGACGAAGCCUCGCGGGUUAAUAGCCCGUUGAGGUGACGGUACCUUCAGAAGAAGCCCCGGCUAACUACGUGCCAGCAGCCGCGGUAAUACGUAGGGGGCAAGCGUUGUCCGGAAUCAUUGGGCGUAAAGAGCGUGUAGGCGGCCCGAUAAGUCCGCUGUGAAAGUCCAGGGCUCAACCCUGGAAUGCCGGUGGAUACUGUCGGGCUCGAAUCCGGAAGAGGUGAGUGGAAUUCCUGGUGUAGCGGUGAAAUGCGCAGAUAUCAGGAGGAACACCAAUGGCGAAGGCAGCUCACUGGGACGGUAUUGACGCUGAGACGCGAAAGCGUGGGGAGCAAACAGGAUUAGAUACCCUGGUAGUCCACGCCGUAAACGAUGGUCACUAGGUGUGGGGGGUGUCGACUCCCUCCGUGCCGGAGCUAACGCAUUAAGUGACCCGCCUGGGGAGUACGGCCGCAAGGCUAAAACUCAAAGAAAUU
rnacentral:rRNA from 1 species